UAUUGCACAAUGGGGGAAACCCUGAUGCAGCGACGCCGCGUGAGUGAUGAAGUAUUUCGGUAUGUAAAGCUCUAUCAGCAGGGAAGAAAAUGACGGUACCUGACUAAGAAGCACCGGCUAAAUACGUGCCAGCAGCCGCGGUAAUACGUAUGGUGCAAGCGUUAUCCGGAUUUACUGGGUGUAAAGGGAGCGUAGACGGAAGAGCAAGUCUGAUGUGAAAGGCUGGGGCUUAACCCCGGGACUGCAUUGGAAACUGUUGUUCUAGAGUGCCGGAGAGGUAAGCGGAAUUCCUAGUGUAGCGGUGAAAUGCGUAGAUAUUAGGAGGAACACCAGUGGCGAAGGCGGCUUGCUGGACGAUGACUGACGUUGAGGCUCGAAAGCGUGGGGAGCAAACAG
rnacentral:rRNA from 1 species